GUAUUUUCUACCUAGGCAAAUUAAAAUGGAAUUAAGUAAUUAAGCUAUGAAUAAAAACUCCUAAUUAACAAAUUAAAUCCCUCCCUCCCCAAUUCUCUCUUCUUUUUCGAAAAAAAAAACCUCCCCCAUCACCCCAUGAUUCUCUCAACCGCCCCCACUCCCUCAUAACCGAUUUCCCUCCCCCUCUUUUCCAUUCGUUCUCUCUCUCUCUCUCUCUCUCUCUCGCUCUCUAGCUCUCAUCUCUCUCGAAGUGUGCUCUCACGGUAAGCUCUCGCCCCUCUCUCUCUCGGUUUACCUUUCCCCAUUCAUCCCCUUCUCAUCAUCAUCUUGGCUUCUUCAAGGUGUUACGCUCGUACGUUGUAAAUCGGUGUAGGGAAAGCUUCGAAUUUACGUUUGAACUAUCCAAGAAAGGGUGAUCGUUUACGAGGAAAGUGUGGUUGAAGAAGGGAAUUAUUUUAAAAGCUAAGCAAUCGAGGUUGAGCGGCGAUGGGGAGGACGGAUGUUGAGCAGUUAAAGUCAAAAUGCGUUUCACUUUGUUUUGGAUAAUGUCGUGUCGUCAUACCCGGCAUUAUCUGUCUCUUGAUCUUUUUCCGCUGCUUGUAAUCCGAAACAAUGUUUUCAUUUAAACUCUGGUUACUUAAACUUUUGAAAUGUCGCUACA